CCAAUAGCGUAUAUUAAAGUUGUUGCAGUUAAAAAGCUCGUAGUUGAAUUUCGGGAUCAAUGUUUCGGUCAUGCCGUUGGUAUGUACUGAUAUUAUUGGUUUCUCACCUUCUAAAGAACCGUAAUGCCAUUAAUUUGGUGUCACGGGGAAUUAGGACUGUUACCUUGAAAAAAUUAGAGUGUUUAAAGCAGGCUCACGCUUGAAUACAUUAGCAUGGAAUAAUGAAAUAGGACAUCCGAUUCUAUUUUGUUGGUUUCUAGGAUCGAUGUAAUGAUUAAUAGGGAUAGUUGGGGGCAUUAGUAUUCAAUUGUCAGAGGUGAAAUUCUUGGAUUUAUUGAAGACUAACUACUGCGAAAGCAUUUGCCAAGGAUGUUUUCAUUAAUCAAGAACGAAAGUUAGGGGAUCGAAGACGAUCAGAUACCGUCGUAGUCUUAACCAUAAACUAUGCCGACUAGGGAUCGGAUGAUGUUAAUUUUUUAAUGACUCAUUCGGCGCCUUAC
rnacentral:rRNA from 1 species